rnacentral:rRNA from 1 species
CACAUGCAGUCGAACGAAGCACCUCUCCCGAAGAUUGACACAGCUUGCUGUAGAUUGAUUCAUUUGAGGUGACUGAGUGGCGGACGGGUGAGUAACGCGUGGGUAACCUGCCUCAUAGAGGGGGACAACAGUUGGAAACGACUGCUAAUACCGCAUAGUAAGAAGAAUUCGCAUGUUUUCUUCUUGAAAGAUUUAUCGCUAUGAGAUGGACCCGCGUCUGAUUAGCUAGUUGGUAAGGUAACGGCUUACCAAGGCGACGAUCAGUAGCCGGCUUGAGAGAGUGAACGGCCACAUUGGGACUGAGACACGGCCCAAACUCCUACGGGAGGCAGCAGUGGGGAAUAUUGCACAAUGGGGGAAACCCUGAUGCAGCGACGCCGCGUGAGUGAAGAAGUAUUUCGGUAUGUAAAGCUCUAUCAGCAGGGAAGAUAAUGACGGUACCUGACUAAGAAGCCCCGGCUAACUACGUGCCAGCAGCCGCGGUAAUACGUAGGGGGCAAGCGUUAUCCGGAUUUACUGGGUGUAAAGGGUGCGUAGGUGGCAAGGCAAGUCAGAUGUGAAAGCCCGGGGCUCAACCCCGGUACUGCAUUUGAAACUGUCUAGCUAGAGUGCAGGAGAGGUAAGCGGAAUUCCUAGUGUAGCGGUGAAAUGCGUAGAUAUUAGGAGGAACACCAGUGGCGAAGGCGGCUUACUGGACUGUAACUGACACUGAGGCACGAAAGCGUGGGGAGCAAACAGGAUUAGAUACCCUGGUAGUCCACGCCGUAACGAUGAAUACUAGGUGUCGGGGCCCACAGGGCUUCGGUGCCGCAGCAAACGCAUUAAGUAUUCCACCUGGGGAGUACGUUCGCAAGAAUGAAACUCAAGGAAUUUGACGGGGACCGCA